rnacentral:misc_RNA from 1 species
GAACGCACCUUGCACCCUUUGGUAUUCCGAAGGGUAUGCCUGUUUGAGUGUCAUUAAAUUCUCAACUUCAAAAGAGUUUGCGCUUUUUUGAAGCUUGGACUAUGGAAGCCUGCUGGUAUAACUAUCAGCUCUUCUUAAAUGCAUUAGCGGAACUGUGAAGGACCAGCUUUGGUUUGAUAAUCCUAUCUAUGCUGUUGCUGUGGACUUGUGUGUUCAGCUUCUAAUUGUCUUCGGACUGCCUCCUAGGCAUACACUUUAAGCUUGACCUCAAAUCAGGUAGGACUACCCGCUGAACUUA